GUUUUGCAACAUGCCCAACAAUAUUGACAUGGCGCCCAACCAUUUAUAUUGACAUUCUUGAAGUAUGAUCUAAUAAUUAUGUAUGUUAAAUAAACCCAAAAUAUUUGUUUUACAUUUAUUUUAUUUUGUUUUAUAUUAUUGGAAGAAAGUAUGUCUGAGUAAAAUAUAUGGAUCUGAAGAAUCGAACCGAAGUAGAUUUGAAAGUAAUACUAAACACAAAUUAAAACUGAUUAAAUACUUAGAUUAAUCUAAAAAUUAAUAUCUAGAUAACCAGAUCUGAAUCUGACCCAAACUAAAAUAUUUUGAAUAUCAAAAUAUCUAAAUCCGAUUACAUACUUAAAUAUGUUAAUUAUUUUAUAUAUAUUAGAUAUUAAAAAUAUGAAAAUAUUUAUAAAUUAUCAACAUAAUCACAAAUAAAUAUUUAAAAGUAACCAAAAGUAUUCAAGAUACUAAAAAUAUUUAUUUGUUCUCCAUCCAAAUAUUUAAAUUGAAUUAAUUUUUAUGUAAAUUUAAAUAUUUAGUCUUACAUUAUUCAAUUUUUUUUGUUUUAUAUUAUUUUAUUUUAUUUUGAGGAUUUAAGUAUAGUUAGAUUUUUGUUAAAAAAUACAUAAUCAAAAUGGAUACCCGAACUCGAAUCUGAAUCGAUCCUACUAUCCAAAACCAAAAUUUAUAAAUAUUCGAAUACGAUUUAAAUUUCUAACUUUAAAAACUUAAAAUUCGAAUAGAUCAACAUAAUCUGAACAGAUAUAUAAAUGUCCAUCCCUAGAAAAAGGUAUACAAUAAAUCAUUUCGUACAACAUAUAAUAAAUAAUCUAAUGAACUAUUUCAUUUCGCGCACAACCUAAAAUAUUAUGUACUAUUAUAUUAUAAAAUAAUACAAUCGAGAUCAACAUAUGUUUCACGAAGCUCUUUUUUUUUUAACGCUGAUUUAUUAUGGCAUUACAAUUAUGAGAAAGAUUACAUAGACGAAUUGACAACCGACAAUACUACAUGUCUUAUGAGGAUCUACGCCUAACUGCAUCACUUGAGCCGUCUUAUGAAGAUCCACGCCUGACUGAAUUUACUUUCACGAAGCUCAUUAUGUAAGAAAACAUUGCAAAGAGAUAUAUACUUGAUGACAUCAAAUAUUAGUUGAAUUGUGGUGUUUUCAUAUUAAAAAAGAACAAAAUCGUAACAAUUUACAAUUGUAUAUGUAACGUAUAUUUAUUAAACAUACAAUAUAAAGUUUCAAAUAUGCACCUCACUCUGCGCACGGACGCGGAUAUCACCUAGUAAAUGUAUUAUAUUGGUAACUUUCUGAAUGGUUCAGGCUUUUCAUCGACACGUACCUAUCUUGAUACGAGAAUUAGGUUCAUCUUAUAAGGAACUGCUCCAUAUAAUAUCUGACCCUCCUAAGGGAAGUGAAAAUUUAUUGACAUUGGUGUUGCAAAUAUUGACACAAGAAGUGGCACCUUCGUCGGAUUUGAUUGCUACCGUAAAGCAUCUAUAUGAAACUAAGCUAAAGGAUGUUUCAAUUCUUAUUCCGUUGCUUUCUUCACUCACUAAAGACGAGGUAAUUUUCUACAUUCUUUCCAUGGAUUCUGCUCUUUUUAUUUUCCACUACUUUUUCAAUGAAGAAGAUGAAGGCUUGCAGUUUUUCUUUUUCUUUUACACCCUGUUAAUAUAACUAUUCGAAAAUGUGGAAAUAAAUAAGAACUAGUAACCAUGGAAGAAUUCUGAAAAAUUUCUGGUCCUAUAAAUUGCUCAUCAGUGGUAGCAAUUCAUGAUGUAACAGGUUCUGCCUAUCUUUCCCCUGCUUCUUAAUCUUCCACCUGAGAAGUUCCAACUUGUACUAGCUCAUAUAUUACAGGUAUCUGCAUAUUCUCGUGGUUCAUCCUCUAAUUAUAUAUGUCGGAACAUUGUUGCAUAUAAUUCGUUCCAUUGGUUUUAGUUUCCUAUUUGACAUUCAUACGGUGAUCUUUUUUGUCUGAGAAGUGUUUCUCUCUCUGUCGGAUUAUAUACUUUCUUCCGCUGUAACAACUUGGCAAAUCGUUUUUGUUAUAUCUGUGAUAGGGUUCUGCUCGUACCGGCCUUGCCCUCACACCUGCCGAGGUACUGAUUGCUAUCCACGAUGUUGUUCCUGAGAAGAAUGGGCCACCACUGAAAAAGAUAACAGAUGCAUGUUCAGCUUGCUUUGAACAACGCACUGUUUUCACGCAGCAAGUCUUAGCAAAGGCUCUCGGUCAGAUGGUUGAUCGAACACCUCUGCCUUUGCUCUUCAUGAGAACAGUAAUUCAGGCAGUCGAUGCUU